UACAGAGGUCUCAAGCGUUGUUCGGAUUCAUUGGGCGUAAAGGGCGCGUAGGUGGCGCUGUAAGUCGGGUGUGAAAUUUCGGAGCUUAACUCCGAAACUGCAUUCGAUACUGCGGUGCUUGAGGACUGGAGAGGAGACUGGAAUUCAUGGUGUAGCAGUGAAAUGCGUAGAGAUCAUGAGGAAGACCAGUGGCGAAGGCGGUUCUCUGGACAGUUCCUGACACUGAGGCACGAAGGCCAGGGGAGCAAACGGG
rnacentral:rRNA from 1 species